UGAGGAAUAUUGGGCAAUGCCCGCAAGGGUGACCCAGCAACGCCGCGUGGAGGAUGAAUGUCGUAAGAUUGUAAACUCCUGUUAGAGGGGAAGAAUAGUACCGGUUGGACCGGUAUAUGACUGUACCCUCAGAGAAAGCCCCGGCUAACUACGUGCCAGCAGCCGCGGUAAUACGUAGGGGGCAAGCGUUGUCCGGAUUUACUGGGUGUAAAGGGCGCGCAGGCGGGAUAAAAAGUCAGUGGUGAAAUCCUGCAGCUUAACUGCAGAAUUGCCAUUGAUACUGUUAGUCUUGAGUACAGUUGAGGUAGGCGGAAUGUGUCAUGUAGCGGUGAAAUGCUUAGAUAUGACACAGAACACCGAUUGCGAAGGCAGCUUGCUAAGCUGUAACUGACGCUGAGGCACGAAAGCGUGGGGAGCAAACA
rnacentral:rRNA from 1 species